GAUCCUGGCUCAGGAUGAACGCUAGCUACAGGCUUAACACAUGCAAGUCGAGGGGCAUCGGGAAGGAAGCUUGCUUUCUUUGCCGGCGACCGGCGCACGGGUGAGUAACACGUAUCCAACCUGCCCUUUACUCGGGGAUAGCCUUUCGAAAGAAAGAUUAAUACCCGAUGGCAUAAUGAUUCCGCAUGGUUUCAUUAUUAAAGGAUUCCGGUAAAGGAUGGGGAUGCGUUCCAUUAGGUUGUUGGUGAGGUAACGGCU
rnacentral:rRNA from 1 species